CGUCAGGCAUCACCGGGGCGGCAGGAUGCUCCAGCCAGUUGAUGCCAGCCAGGAAGGCGUGGUAGUCUAUCUGGUCCCCGUCUGCAAACCUUGAACAUGCACACACACACGUGCAUCCGGAUCAUUACAAAGGAGAUUCGAGAACUGUAUUAAAUCAUAGACAGGUCAUACUUGUGGAGUAGACAUGUAAGCAGGUUGUCAGAGACGGGGAGCUGGAAGGUUCUGCAGAUGGUUGUCGCCUCUUUGAUGGACGUGCGUCCUGUUCUGAAGACAGAAUUGACAGAGGAAUCAAUAUCUAUAUCAUUUUAUGUUUAGUAACAACUCCAAGUAACUCAAAGGAGACAUUUUUCUUGAAAUUCAAAACAGUUCUAACAAUAUGACUGUGACCUUUUCUUUUGUCAGAAUACCCAAAGGAUUAAGAUGAGGGCAAGACUAUUUUCACCUGGUCGAGAUUCAGAUAUUUUGAGCAGAGUGCACGGUUCUGUCUCAUGAAGACACUGCUCUGCCCACUCCGCCCCCCUCUACUGUUAGCCCACUGCUGAGCACGGUCUUUGUUACCAUGACGACCGGGGGCAAAUCCAAAGUGCUUCAAUGAGACUUGAACCUACUUGUUCUCAAGCGGCCGAGAGUCUCAAGUGAAAAGGUCCAUCUGGUUCCAAUGCUCCACUCCCAAAGCUGGAACUAAUGCUUGCUCGGAGAUCUGGGGGCCACUGCACAAUGGAUGCCUGGUGUGACGCCUACAUGUGUGUGUGUGUGUGUGUGUGUGUGUGUACGCUUGUGUUCGUUUUUGCUCGUUAAUCCAUUAUCUGUGUAUUUUAUGCCUCGUUCACACUAGGUGAUUUCAGACUGAGAGGCUUGGGUGCUCACCGAGGACUCGCAAAUCAGCGCCUGCGUGCUCUGUUCUCAGACGGGAGCCAAGAAGCUGACGCGUUACCGACGCAUCCCAGGCUUUUAAAUACCUGGGCAAAACUUAUCCUGGCCAACUUUGAGGAGCAAGACGUAUGUGAAAUUAUUUGAAUACAUCAGCAUCUUUGUAUCACCCUACUUGCUGAGGUCCUGGAGUUCAAACGCUUGGGUCAUGUCAGGGAUUUGAUCAAAGUCCUUCUUCUUGAGGACAUCCUGGGCCACAGCCAGCAUCAGGCCAAUGUCAACUUCAGG